GACGAACGCUGGCGGCGUGCUUAACACAUGCAAGUCGAACGAUGAAGCCGGAGCUUGCUCCGGUGGAUUAGUGGCGAACGGGUGAGUAACACGUGAGCAAUCUGCCCUUGACUCUGGGAUAACUGCGGGAAACUGUAGCUAAUACCGGAUACGACACCUUGGGGCAUCCCAGGGUGUGGAAAGAAUUUCGGUCAAGGAUGAGCUCGCGGCCUAUCAGCUAGUUGGUGAGGUAAUGGCUCACCAAGGCGACGACGGGUAGCCGGCCUGAGAGGGUGACCGGCAACACUGGAACUGAGACACGGUCCAGACUCCGACGGGAGGCAGCAGUGGGGAAUAUUGCACAAGGGGCGAAAGCCUGAUGCAGCAACGCCGCGUGAGGGAUGAAGGCCUUCGGGUUGUAAACCUCUUUUAGCAGGGAAGAAGCGAAAGUGACGGUACCUGCAGAAAAAGCACCGGCUAACUACGUACCAGCCGCCGCGGUAA
rnacentral:rRNA from 1 species